rnacentral:rRNA from 1 species
CAGUAGCCGCGGGAAUACGUAGGUGGCAAGCGUUGUCCGGAAUUAUUGGGCGUAAAGGGCUCGCAGGCGGUUUCUUAAGUCUGAUGUGAAAGCCCUCGGCUCAACCGGGGAGGGUCAUUGGAAACUGGGAAACUUGAGUGCAGAAGAGGAGAGUGGAAUUCUACGUGUAGCGGUGAAAUGCGUAGAGAUGUGGAGGAACACCAGUGGCGAAGGCGACUCUCUGGUCUGUAACUGACGCUGAGGAGCGAAAGCGUGGGGAGCGAACAGGAUUAGAUACCCCAGUAGUCCCUGUCUCUUAUAC